rnacentral:rRNA from 1 species
UGGGGAAUAUUAGGCAAUGGGCGAAAGCCUGACCCAGCGACGCCGUGUGGGCGAUGAAGGCCUUCGGGUUGUAAAGCCCUGUGAGGUGGAAAGAAGGGCCCAGAGGUUAAUACCCUUUGGGCUUUGACGGUACCACCAGAGGAAGCACCGGCUAACUCCGUGCCAGCAGCCGCGGUAAUACGGAGGGUGCAAGCGUUGUUCGGAAUUACUGGGCGUAAAGGGCGCGUAGGUGGUUGUGUAAGUCAGAUGUGAAAUCCCGAGGCUCAACUUCGGAACUGCAUCUGAAACUGCAUGACUAGAGUACAGCAGAGGGAAACGGAAUUCCUGGUGUAGAGGUGAAAUCCGUAGAUAUCAGGAGGAACACCGGUGGCGAAGGCGGUUUCCUGGGCUGAUACUGACAAUGAGGCGCGAAAGCGUGGGGAGCAAACA